rnacentral:rRNA from 1 species
GACGAACGCUGGCGGCGUGCCUAAUACAUGCCAGUAGAACGCACAGUUUAUACCGUAGCUUGCUACACCAUAAACUGUGAGUUGCGAACGGGUGAGUAACGCGUAGGUAACCUGCCUGGUAGCGGGGGAUAACUAUUGGAAACGAUAGCUAAUACCGCAUAAUAUUGAUUAUUGCAUGAUAAUUGAUUGAAAGAUGCUAUUGCAUCACUACCAGAUGGACCUGCGUUGUAUUAGCUAGUAGGUGAGGUAACGGCUCACCUAGGCGACGAUACAUAGCCGACCUGAGAGGGUGAUCGGCCACACUGGGACUGAGACACGGCCCAGACUCCUACGGGAGGCAGCAGUAGGGAGUCUUCGGCAAUGGACGAAAGUCUGACCGAGCAACGCCGCGUGAGUGAAGAAGGUUUUCGGAUCGUAAAGCUCUGUUGUAAGAGAAGAACGGGUGUGAGAGUGGAAAGUUCACACUGUGACGGUAUCUUACCAGAAAGGGACGGCUAACUACGUG